rnacentral:rRNA from 1 species
AUACGUAGGUGACAAGCGCUAUCCGGAUUUACUGGGCGUAAAGGGCGUGUAGGCGGUCUUGCAAGUCAGAAGUGAAAUUCCUGAGCUCAACUCGGGCGCUGCUUCUGAAACUGCAGGACUUGAGUGCUGGAGGGGAUAGCGGAAUUCCUAGGGGAGCGGUAAAAUGCGCAGAUAUUAGGAAGAACACCGGUGGCGAAGGCGGCUAUCUGGACAGUAACUGACGCUGAGGCGCGAAAGGGUGGGGAGCAAACAGGAUUAGAUACCCUGCUAGUCCACGCCGUAAACGAUGAAUACUAGGUGUAGGGGGUAUCGACUCCCUCUGUGCCGCAGUUAACACAAUAAGUAUUCCGCCUGGGGAGUACGGUCGCAAGGUUGAAACUCAAAUGAAUUGACGGGG